rnacentral:rRNA from 1 species
UACGUAGGACCCAAGCGUUAUCCGGAAUUACUGGGCGUAAAGAGUUGCGUAGGUGGCAUAGUAAGCAGAUAGUGAAACCGUGCGGCUCAACCGCAUAACCAUUAUCUGAACUGCUAAGCUUGAGUAUAGGAGAGGUACCUGGAAUUUCUAGUGUAGGAGUGAAAUCCGUAGAUAUUAGAAGGAACACCGAUGGCGUAGGCAGGGUACUGGCCUAUUACUGACACUAAGGCACGAAAGCGUGGGGAGCGAACGGG